rnacentral:rRNA from 1 species
UACGGGGGGAGCAAGCGUUGUUCGGAUUUACUGGGCGUAAAGGGUGCGUAGGUGGCGCCGUAAGUCGGGUGUGAAAUUUCGGAGCUUAACUCCGAAACCGCAUUCGAUACUGCGGUGCUUGAGGACUGGAGAGGAGACUGGAAUUCAUGGUGUAGCAGUGAAAUGCGUAGAGAUCAUGAGGAAGACCAGUGGCGAAGGCGGGUCUCUGGACAGUUCCUGACACUGAGGCACGAAGGCCAGGGGAGCAAACGGG